UAUCAAUAAGUUUGUAUCUAGGAUUUAAUGAAUCUCAGGAAUUUUUAUAAACUGCUGCAAGUCAAAGUCAAGAGACAGUAUUUGCAGGAAGCAGUGUUUCAAGGGUUGAAAUGCUAUACCUGGUUCUGGCCAGAAACUCUGAAGUUCUCUUCUUGUUUUCAGAUACUGGAAUAUUCUUCAUGUAAUGCAGUAUCACUUUUGUGUGAAGUCACAUGUAACUUGUCCCCCUCCUUUCUAUCACGAGAACUACUGAAGAUAUAAACCAAAUCCAGGUACAGAAAAAUCUCAAUAAUUCAGGCUAUGGAGAAAGCCAGUGGGAGCCAUUGCGAAGCCUGAAUUCUAGAGCACUAGGGUAUGGUAUAUGUGUUUUUUAAAAACGUACAUUCAAUAAUAUAAAGUAAGUCAACCAAGUAUUAUUGACUUUUGCUAGUACUUGGUGGGGAGGAAGCUAAAUUAAUGAUAUAUGAAAAUACCUUACAAUCGCAUAUUACAUAUUGAUUUGUCCUCAGAAGGAAGAUAAACAUUUUUUCCUAUGAGAUUACUUAUACAUUAUUUUCUUAAUUCACUUUUUCAGAGCACUUUCAAUUGAAUUUCAGGCAAAAUGCAAUCUAGGCCUAGUCCAGCUAAAUGCAAACUUUGGAUUUGUAGGUCUACAUUUUUUAUUGCAAAACUUAAAAGCAUUCUUAUAUCCACCAUUGUAGAGUUACUCUAACAUUCUUCAAAAUUUUAUCAGAGACUUCUUGCUGUUUUUAGGUGUCAAGAUACUAAUUGCUUUUUACAAUGUGCUGUGACUCAUGCCUAAUCACUUUCCUUUAAUGACUCAAGCAGGGAAACCAGUGAUAUUUGUGAAUAGUAGAUGGGAUAAAAGGAGCUGGACACAUUCUUUCUUCAACAUCUGCCAUGAUAUGAUUUCAUAAGCAAGAAAUGUGCCAAGGCUUCUGCCCAAGAAUAUAAACUACAUGGACACAUCAUGGGGACUCCCCUGCCUUCAAGCUCCCAUGGGGUUUCAACCAAUGAAGACAAGAAGAAAGAGAGAUUGAGAGUGGCUGGAAAAUUGGGAUCGAGACAAGCCGUGUAGAAGAGCACGCUUCUCAGUUUGGCAAGCUGCGACAGAUCGAACCGGGCACAGAGAGAUUUGCACAGGUCCUGAUAAGAAACGGUAUUUUGCUUGCUGUCCAGUUCCUCCAAGAUCUUCACCAAGAAGAGGGAAGUUUCCUGAUUGGUCUCCAUGAUUUAUUACUUGAAAAGCUCGCUGACUACACUGAAACUUCAGGUCAGUUCUGUGGUGGCAAUAUUGAGAAAGAGAGGAGGAAAAGAGGAUUAUAAACACCAGUGGAGUUUGAAGUCAAGCUUCUUAUAAACCGUAUAGAGAAAUACAAAGAAAAACAUUUUAAUGAUUAAAAAUGUAGUAAGGACAGUAAAAAUAUUCAUAACAUUCGAUUUAGUAAUUUCCUUCCUGGGAACCUACCUUAAUGAUUAAUGAUAACAAUUAUGCUUAAAGGUGUUCACUAUGAUGGCACUUAUAAUAAUGAGAAAGCAAAACAUCUUAAAUAUCCAAAUAAGUGAAUACAUAAACAUGUUAUGAUAUACCAUGAAUUUCUACAAACAUUAAACUACAUUAAUGUACAUUCUUACAAUGGAAUACUACUCAUCAGCAAAAAAGAAUAAACCACUAGUAUAUGCAAGGACAUGGAUGAAUCUCGAAUGUAUUGUGUGUGGGUGGAAGAAGCCAGAGUCAGAAGGUACAUCCUCCACUGCAUGAUUCCAUCUUAAUGACAUUCUGGAAGACAGAUCAGUAGUUGCCGAGAGCUGGAUGUGAGGAGGGGGGUGGACCUCAAAGGGGCACAGAGAAGUUUUCCUAAAUGAUAUAAUUGUUCUACAUCCUGGUUGUGGUGGUGGUUACAUGACUGUAGGCAUUUGUCAAAACUCACAGGACUCUAAACUAGAAAGUGUAAGUUUUACUGUACAUAAAUAAUAACUCAACUUAGAAAUUACAUA